AACGAACGCUGGCGGCAUGCCUAACACAUGCAAGUCGAACGAUGCCUUCGGGCAUAGUGGCGCACGGGUGCGUAACGCGUGGGAAUCUGCCUUUCGGUUCGGAAUAACUCAGGGAAACUUGAGCUAAUACCGGAUAACGUCGCAAGACCAAAGAUUUAUCACCGAAAGAUGAGCCCGCGUAGGAUUAGCUAGUUGGUGAGGUAAAGGCUCACCAAGGCGACGAUCCUUAGCUGGUCUGAGAGGAUGAUCAGCCACACUGGGACUGAGACACGGCCCAGACUCCUACGGGAGGCAGCAGUGGGGAAUAUUGGACAAUGGGCGAAAGCCUGAUCCGGCAAUGCCGCGUGAGUGAUGAAGGCCUAGGGUUGUAAAGCUCUUUUACCCGGGAAGAUAAUGACGGUACCGGGAGAAUAAGCCCCGGCUAACUCCGU
rnacentral:rRNA from 1 species